rnacentral:rRNA from 1 species
CAGGACGAACGCUGGCGGCGUGCCUAAUACAUGCAAGUCGAACGGCUUUUCUAUGGAAGCUUGCUUCCACUGGGAAGAUAGUGGCGAACGGGUGAGUAACACGUGGGUAACCUGCCCAUAAGAGGGGGAUAACAUCCGGAAACGGGUGCUAAUACCGCAUAGUUUCUUGAUCGCAUGAUCGGGAAAGGAAAGACGGCCUUUGUGCUGUCGCUUAUGGAUGGACCCGCGGCGUAUUAGUUAGUUGGUGAGGUAACGGCUCACCAAGACGAUGAUACGUAGCCGACCUGAGAGGGUGAUCGGCCACAUUGGGACUGAGACACGGCCCAAACUCCUACGGGAGGCAGCAGUAGGGAAUCUUCCGCAAUGGACGAAAGUCUGACGGAGCAACGCCGCGUGAGUGAAGAAAGGUUUUCGGAUCGUAAAACUCUGUUGUCAGAGAAGAACAAGUUGGAGAGUAACUGCUCCAGCCUUGACGGUAUCUGACCAGAAAGCCACGGCUAACUACGUGCCAGCCGCCGC